ACCUGCCUUAUAGUGGGGGAGUAGCCUUUCGAAAGGAAGAUUAAUACCGCAUAAGAUUGUAGUAUCGCAUGAUAUAGCAAUUAAAGGAGCAAUCCGCUAUAAGAUGGACCCGCGUCGCAUUAGCUAGUUGGUGAGGUAAUGGCUCACCAAGGCGACGAUGCGUAGCCGACCUGAGAGGGUGAUCGGCCACAUUGGGACUGAGACACGGCCCAGACUCCUACGGGAGGCAGCAUG
rnacentral:rRNA from 1 species